AUUUUCGCGAGGACGGCCGCUUUCACGAAGACCGCCGCUUUUGCUUAGAAGACCUCCUUGAAGCGGCGGGAGAUGGAAUACCCAAUCCUGGAUUCUGAUCUCCAGAGCUUUUGUGCUCUUCGCGGCAUUUUCGCAGAUUUUCUCAUUAACGUCCUCCAGUCUUUAGUGGCGGACGCAGAGCAACAACCCUCGUCGGAGAGAUUUAUGCAGGUGGGCUUUCUCAGAGAUUCUUUCUUUCCUAGUUAUUUUGCAAUGUGAUGCCAUGAACUGUUUGUUGUAAUCUUCUGAUAGAUAUUAGUGAGGUUUCUAAAUUAUCCGUGUUGGAUCAGUGGUUAAGGAGUGGGCUUGUAUGUGUGGAAGCUAUAGCACCGUUUGGGUUCUCCGCAUGUACAAAUGAUUCAAUGUUCAAGCGUUCAUGGGUUUGGGUUUGUGCA